rnacentral:rRNA from 1 species
AACGAACGCUGGCGGCAUGCCUAACACAUGCAAGUCGAACGAGACCUUCGGGCCUAGUGGCGCACGGGUGCGUAACGCGUGGGAACCUGCCCUUAGGUUCGGAAUAACUCCCCGAAAGGGGUGCUAAUACCGGAUAAUGUCUUCGGACCAAAGAUUUAUCGCCUUUGGAUGGGCCCGCGUUGGAUUAGCUAGUUGGUAGGGUAAAAGCCUACCAAGGCGACGAUCCAUAGCUGGUCUGAGAGGAUGAUCAGCCACACUGGGACUGAGACACGGCCCAGACUCCUACGGGAGGCAGCAGUGGAGAAUAUUGGACAAUGGGCGAAAGCCUGAUCCAGCAAUGCCGCGUAAGUGAUGAAGGCCUUAGUGUUGUAAAGCUCUUUUACCCGGGAUGAUAAUGACAGUACCGGGAGAAUAAGCUCCGGCUAACUCCGUG